UUGUUCAAAAAAUGUCCUUCAUUAAUGAUAAUCAUUAAAACAUGAUGAGGCCCUACAAAAAUGAAUCACUACGCCUUGGGCAGAACGUAGGAUUUUCAUGCAAAAUGACAAAACAACAGAAAAUUACUCUGUCAGAAGAGUAACUUGAACCACUUCUUCAGCCGUCCAGUUGUUGAUAGACCCCCCUGGUGCACACGGGCGAACCCAGUUGUCCAGAUCACAAUCACUGUCACAGUCUUCACUACCGGUUGCGGAGACGUCGCCAUGAUUCAUCAGCCCAGCGCUGGUA
rnacentral:lncRNA from 1 species